rnacentral:rRNA from 1 species
AUGCCAACGCAAACUGGCGAGUCCAAGGAUGAUGACGUUGUAAUUACCGGCGUAGGUCGCUUUGAACCAGGGAAUCCUGUCGCUUUGGCCAAGCAUACUGUGAAAGAAGAUUUUUCUGGCAUGAAAAAAGGCAAAUGGGAUGUUGAUCUGGAAACAUAUGCUGCUCUGAGUGCCCAAGAUGUUCAUUCUGGUUACUUGAACCGGCUAUAUACUAGUCGUGACUAUGAAGCUGGCCUGGUAAAAAUAAUGAGAGAUAAAUUUGAGGCUGAAGUGAGGAUCAAAGAGGACCAGAUUACUGAUCUGCAGGAGAUUUUGAAAACCCAACAAGCUAAACCGACAAGGCAAGGGAAGAAAUAA